AUGGAUGCCUCGGGCGACGAGUCGUCGCUUCUUCAAGACUGGAAGACUUGGAAGAGGCGUGCAUUACCGCGGCAGAUGGUGGUCGUGAUUGCAGCUGCUCCGCACACGAACACCUGCCGUUUUCUCCGCCGUCUAUCGGGAUGGACGAAAUCACUGUCCAGCCUCCUCCACCUUCUCCUUCACGUUCUUUCUUCGGUUUCAUCGUCUCCUCGUACUCCGUCCAUUCGUAUUCUGUCAACGAAAGAAUCCCAACUGCUCCGACUGCAAUGUCAAAAGGUUUUUAUAACUUAAUAAGAUUACAGAUUUUUAAUAAUAAUACAAGAGUGAUUUAAUCCUCUUCAAGGGCAACGAAAAGACUGCAGCUGCCCGACCAUUGAUUUCAACGCGUUUCACUGAAUUUCAGUUCAAGUGUUUCAUUUCAUCUACAAUUAUCCGUUUAUAAAAUAAAUAAAUCAAAGUCGGACAGUCAGGCGUCGUCCCCGGAGAGAGAUAACGCGCGUUUUCUCUUGAAAAGAUACAGAUGGGAAUAGAUAUUAGAUAUCGAUCGUCGUUCUCCAAGGCUUUGCUCGACGAAACGCCGUUUCCUGGAUUCUCUCGAGAGAAUCAGGAUCGUUGCUUCUCGAGCGAAAGUGAUUUCUGCCACGUCUCACAGCGUCGAAACGUUUUCGCACACGUUCUUCUGUCGUGAAAAAAGUAGAAGUAGAAGAAGAAAAAAAGAAACGAGAGAAUCAUCGCGAAAGAGACGGUUCGAGGUCGUCUCAGGAGCAGAGGAAUUAAUUUUGGCGAACGUCCAGAAUGUAUACGAGCACGGGACACGAAACACGGGGCGGGAACGAAGGGAUGAUACUGGCAGCGAAGUAAAUUCGGCUCAGCGAGACAGAUCCGGCGCGGAAAAUUGUACGGGAAAAUUGGUGGCAUCCUGCAACCGGGCCGACAGUUCGGAUAGACGACCGUGACCACGAUUUCUCUAGUCGAGUAAAGCAGCUAACGAGCUGUCAAAUAUCAGCGUAAUCGAGAAACCUGUUCCAUGAUCAGCCAUAAACGUCGAUCCAGCGUCGCGGCGUCCGUUCCUUCGUCAGCCAUUGCUCCGUCUUUACGGAAUUGAAACCGAGACUGGAACGCUGGUAAAGCGAUAUGAUUUUUAAAAAUUUCUGAAUUAUAUUUCGAAUCGCGCGAUAUCCAAUGCAUAACGGAACAGUCGAAAUUUCCUUUCGAAAAAGGAAUCGAUUCGUUUUUUCCCUCUGCCGAGUCGAUUUCCGGCGAAGGUUGACGGGGGGCGCGGUGAACAAUAAAGACGCGAAGACGGAAGAUAAAGAAUUGAAAGGUAAAAGGACAGGUGGCGCGAUCGGGAAAGGAGAAGAAUAGAAGAAAUUCCAGAGCAGUAGGCGGAGAAUGGCGGUAAAUUAAAUACGGCAGCAGCCCCCGGGGGUGGUUCGUUUAAUCGCUUAAUCGAGACUUCAGAAUGCUCGGCGAACGAAAGCCGAGCUUGUGAGCGAGCUUUCGUUUCGUCUCGAUGAAAGCUCUCGAAAGGGUCGGCAAUUACUUAAAAACGAAGUUGCGCGCCAUCGUCGCCGUCGUUUUCUUUCCCGUAUUCGCCAUGGCUGUUUCUUCCAUUUCCCCCGUUGCUUUUACGCGGUUUUCCUACCGCGACGCGUAUCCCCGCGAGCCGACCGUUCCUGGAAGGUGGCCGUGCGCGGAUGGACCCCUCUCUAUUCCGGAUAACGACAGCAAUAUCCAAAUAGUAAAACGGAUGGCAGCCAACUGGAGGGCAGGGCAAACACUCGAACAGUGGCUGGAUCGAUGAAAAGGUUCUGAAUCAAGCCGGGCGAGUGUCGAGCGUGUCAAGAGAGCUCGGUGUUUCUUGGUAAAGUAGCUAAGGAGAAUCAGUCGACGCCAGUAGUCUCGGCGUCGUUGUUCAUCCUUCCACGACGUUCCAGCUUCCGGCUUGGAGGACGAAGAGAAUGGACCGGAGUGUCGGCGAGAAGAGAGAAAAGCGACGAGUAAUACGUAGGUGGAGGUGGUUGCUGAAGACGGAAGAAUAUUUCGUGGAGGUCGCGGGGCGACACGUAGACCCAGGAUGCUCGAGGAUAACGUAAUCCCCGUGUUCUUUGUUUUUAAACAUUAACGAGACACGACACGGGGGCCUACGGCGAUAAAUAAUUUAGGCUCAAAGCUGUUUCACCUGUUUCACGACCUACGGACUUUUGACGUGCCUUCGCCGAAGAGCAUCAGGGGUGUCUAGUAAAACAGGAACAACAAGGUUCAAACUGAUGGCGAAGAAUUUUGUCGCAGACGUGGAUCGAUCUAGGAUUUAUCAAGGAACCUACCGUUCACCGAUCGCAGGAACUCCCACGAGAAUAAUGCAAUCUGAUUGGCCGCAUCCUAUCUCAGCUUACACGUACUUUCAGUUCUGACGUACGAUUGGUCGAACCGGUCGCAGCUACUAUUUAGAUUGGUGCAAAACUAGGGUGUUAGUCGAUGUGUGCCUAGUAUCUCCUCCGCAAAACUUCUUGUCAUCGAUGCAAAGUACUUCGGGCCAGAAGGAGCUCGCAGACACGAGGCGGGAGAAGAUCGUGGGGACACGUAUACGUUGUUUCGCUCGAAUAGAUGCCGUUUCCGCGGCACUCAGGUAAGCACGUAGAGGAGAGGAUCUGGAGCGGGGCCAAGCUCGCUUGAGAAGCAGUCUGCGUACGAAAACUGGAUGGAUGAAGCCGGGAGGAAGGAAGAAGAGAACAACUGGUAGGAGUUGAACGCGAUGAACAGUUGAAAUUCUACAGAUAAGAGAGAAGAACGACGUUAGUUUAGCUAGGAAUUGAGUAGGAAACAGAGAAGAAAAAAGAAAAUAAAGGAACGACGGAGGGGCUCUGUUUCGUUUAGGACCUAGCUAGUCCCCUAUCUCAAACACCAGGUACUUAGAGUCACGUUAAAAGGUAAGAAUCCAGGUCUCCUAUGUCCAUUUCCAACUACCAUAACUCGUGGAUCCCAAGAUCUCGCUAUAAAUUCCUCCUGCCGAGGGCGGCAGCGCGGAAUGGGAAAUGUACGGUCAAAGUUUAUCGAUCGAUGGACGUCGCGGUUAUUACGCGAUAAUUCCCCUAAAAAAUACCGUGUCCUCGUUGAAGAUACUUAACGAAGAAACUAGGAAAGCGAAGCGGGGGAGGAAAAGCUGACAGUGUAGCCGAUCGAAAGGGAUUUCAGAGCCGCUCACGGGGAUCGGCUGGCGAAAGAUUCUCUCUGCUCUUUAGCCGGCUUUGGCGAAACUUUUCCGCGAUCCUCGAACCGAAGAACGAGCUGCGAAGCUGGAGCCAGGCUGAAAUCCAAGAUAGAAGAGGUGGAAAGGUGCGAACGGGAAUAUAUAGGAAGAGAGUAAACGCGGGAAGGUAGACGUCGAAGAGACGCAGGCGCAUGGUCGCGCCUACGAGACGGUGCUUCCACGGAUCCAGCUAUCGAUUCGGCUGUCUUACAGGUCCUCUCGAGGCUCGAUGAAUAAAAAUGACAUGCUAACGAGCGUGGUUCAGCCAGCUGAAACUAACUCCUGGUAACGCGUCGAGAAACGUUCUAAGCGGAGCGACGCGGCGCGUUUCGACGUUCCUGGACACAGAGAGACGGGCUUUGGAUAACAGUCUGUGAAACAGGAACGAAGGGAACCGACGAGGGGAAAACAGGGACCAAGGAGAACCGAAACAGCAACUCGAGUUGUUCCUUCGAAUCAACGGUGCGAUUAAUAUUCGAGCGAUCGUUCGAGUAGAAACGACGGAUUCUGACGGUGGAGAACAGAGGGGACCAGAGGCAACACUUCUUACACUAGAACGAAUAGUUCGCCCUUUCUUCCUGGUACCUACGCGGUUUACUACCGCGCCAGAUAUUCCGCAAACUCUAAAGCAUCUGCUCCCUGUAAUCGUAACUACGUGCCGUUGCACGCGUUUCGCGACAAAUUAGGGUACCGAGUUUCAGAGUAGUCGUCGGUGAAUCCAGUUUCGAUACGCGAGUUACACUUCGUGGGAUUCGGAAGAAUUAAAUCCUAUCAAAUUUCGGAACAUGUUCGAAACUAUCUUAUCAAAUAUACUUACGUUCUAUCAGGAACUAUAGCGGAGAUAGGAGAGACAAUGGAAAGCCAUAGGUACUCGUAUCGUUAUCGAGUAUCGACGUGGGAGUUGAUUAGCAGUGGGUUCUCGUUAAAUAUCGUGUCGUCGGUAUGAAAACAUGGGAUAGGUUACGUGCAGCCAUGCAGUUACCCUCGUGUGUGUGUGUUUCAAUGUAUAGGUGAACCCUUCUACGUACUUAUUACGUCCUCACCGAUAAAUUGACUCGAUGACUGGAUAACUAAUGAAUGCACGGUACGGUGAAAUUAUGAAAAAUUGAAAGAAAAUUUGCGGCUACCGAGAGGCAAAUAUUGAUAUAAAGUAUCGUAAACGGUAUAUGAAUUUCUUGUUCCCGAUAAACAGGCUCGUCGUUGUCCGAGAAAAUCUCCGCCACUUGUUAAUCGUAGCUUAUCACAAUUUUUGGAAAUCCUAUGAAUAACACCGACUCGAAGCUGAAUUUACUGUUCGCAAAUAACAGUGUAUUCAUUUCCGGAAAUUGCUGUGCCAAUUAUUCGAACGAUGAAAUAAUUGUUCGUUGUUUUUAUUAUUUUCCCGGAAAAUAUUUGAUAAAAUGUUUGCAAUAACGGCGCUCGUUUGCAACCCAAUUUUAACCCUUUGCUCGCGGCAGAAUUGGACGCAUAGCUUUGUUGAUAUGAGUAACGUGGUUACGGUCUGCUGCUCCUGCUUCAGCACGAAGUAAUAUUGUUUAGACGAGAGGAAUGCAUAUAAAUAUUAACUUGGAAACGUAAUCAUUUCGCGUAUAUUUUUAUCGUCAACCUGACGUUUCCUCGUUUCACGGGAUUAAGUACUUUCCAAAGAACUUAAUGUUUUCAACGCAAGAGUUUCAGGAUGUGUUUCUGUCGAACAGCUGAUCCCUGAAAAGAAACGUAGCCGGUAAAGGGACAACAGUCACGCGAUCCUCGUCGAAAGAUUAGGAGCUCGAGGCCUUCCGGCACGGCUCGCUUCUCCUUACACGUGGAAUACUGAAUUUUUUAUUUUUUCUUCCUUUUUUUCCUCCCCGGUACUUUUCCAAUUAUCCUGGACAGAGGCAGGUCCGCGUCGCUCGUUUUCCCGUUCUCAUUUCACCGAGCGUCCUUUCGCGUCUCGGUCGUACGCGUCGCGAAAUGAAAAAAGGUCGUUGAAGAGAGCCGGCGGCGGCAGAUCGCGACGCCGGCCUCGAGUUUUGAUUAAAACUAAACGGCGAAUAAAAAUUCCGCGACCAACCGAGCUCGGCGUGAAAACCGCUUCCGUUGAACGAGAAUACAUUUCCGGGAUCGAUCGACGCCGAAAGAGAAAGACAAAGCUGACCGAUGUUUUUUCUCGGUGAAAUUUUCGAAACGACCGGGCCGAAAUAAAGGGAUGAAACACCGUUCGGCUAGGAGGAAAAAAAAAUAGCCUCGCGUUCGGUGUUCGCGAACGAAGGAAGUAUAAAGUUCGUCUGGAAUCGAAAAUCGAUGUUCAGACGAUGCUUUCGCUAAGUGCCAUUCGGGGUAUCGUCGCUUCUUCCUUCGAGCGGCGUCGAAGAAAGCGGCGAGGGAAAAAAAGUCCGUGAAGAAAUUUCACCGCGCCAAUAAUUUCUAACCCGGCCCCCGUUAUCCACCUGCUGACCCGUGGUGUCGCAGCAAAUGGGCCAAUUUUCCAUCCCGCUCUACGGCUUACGGCUAUUGUCGGGAUGUUGACGAUUCGAAUCGCGCUCGGAUCGAUACAGACUUAAAGAUCGAUUCAGCUUCGAGACGUUAAAUAGCCCAAUAUCGAACCGCAGUCGAUACUCGUAAAGGUUUACCCUCGUUUUUCCCUUGUGCAUAACACAGCCGAAGAAGGGGAUCAUUAUCACCCCUCGUUGCAUCAGGUUCCGCAACUCAAUUUCUUUCAAAACCACCGAAAUUCCGUGCCUAUCCACGUGUUCGGACGACUGUCGCCGCCAUGUGCGGUUGCUUCACCGUCCCUAGACCCUCGAGAGCCUAAUGAAGAUAAGAAUGGAGGAGCAAAGGUCUCAGGGCGUCGUUUCCCCAAUUCAUUGGGGUCACUUCGCGUCAGCGUCGAAGAGAAGAGAUCAAUAUUGUAUCACGACAGUGGAAGAUUUUAUUGCACAACUGCCAAGAUUUUUGUUCACGAGACUGGAAAUUCUGAUGGUAGCAGGGGAAAAAGUUGAUGGGAAGGAGUUAAAUUUUUCAUUCGUUCUAAAAGAAGAUGACAGCUAAGAAGCAGCUUCUUCUUAGCCGCGGAAUUAACGAGGAGAUGAAGAAGCCGUACAAGUUUGGAAUGCAGGGAAGGGCGAGCGGUGGAAAAACCGCAAACAAUAAGAAAGCAACGGGAGAAGUUGACAAAGAUAGUUGCCAUAAUACGCGACGAAACAACGCAACAGAUAAAUUUGAUCGUGAACAGAGAAGAAAGAUAUUUCGUUGGAUAUACCGAACGAUAUUACGAUAACAAUUAUACCGUGAUCGUUGGAACAAGAAAAUGCCCGUUUGCGUGAAACACGCGAAGUUAAACCGCACAGCCCUAUCGAGGGGACAAAGUGGCUUGCAAAAAUCUUGAUUCGAUCGAUAACUUUAAUUAUGAGUUAUUUCGUGCUGUCAAGGAACCGCGUUACCCACAGAUGAUUAAACUGAUAAAACGUUGAUUAUAGGAAAAUUAUGGAGCAAAGUUUCUUCAACAUCUGUUGCGUAUCAUCAACGGGUACGAGAGUUGCGCAACGGCGUUACUUCCUGAUCACUCAUCGUAAUUAAUACAAGAAGCCUCGACCGACCAGCGAUACUUCAACUGCAUCAUACGAACAGUCUCAUUCAUGUUUGAUCAAGCUAUAUAUCCGAGUAUCCAUCAGGUAAGCCGUUCGAGUAAUUCUCUACCGUUAGUUACGAUCCGAAGAAGCGACUGCAAAGCCUUCGGUUUUGUCGGACUGACGGAAAGAGACUUACGUUGGUAAGGUAAAAGUGGAGAGGGGAAGAGAAAAAUACAGAAGACAGAGGUCGGCCUCGUUCGGGCAAGGUUCAACGGACUCCGCGUGUCGGAUCUAACGACGACGAGGAGGCCAGCAGCCGAACACUGCGGCCCGCUACUCCACGCUACUCGUUUCGCCAGCAUCUUUUUCCGACGCGUCUCCUUCUCUCUCUUCUUUUUCUUUGCCCUUUCGAGUAGAGGAGAAGCAACCAACCAACGAACCGGUCGAGCACGCUCGUCGUCGCUAAAUGGCCAACGUAAAAUGGAGGAUACUCUCGCGACGAGUCUCUUCUCUUCGAAGACGAAUUUCCUUCUUCCAGGGAAAGAGUUGAAAAAGCGCAAAAACGAUGCGUGCGGACACAGUCGCGCUCGUUAGAAUACGUUUCUCACGUGACAGGGCUCGCCAAACUUUUUGAGAAACGGACUGGAAUGAAAUUUUUAAAAUACGGGGUCAAACGAAGAAUAUUAAUUUACACUGCAUGUGUUUUUAUUGGAAUUUAGGUAUAUAAAAUGUACCAAAUGGUAAAUCAUAAAAUUUUGUAAAAUUAAUGCUUCUUUAUAUAAAAUAUUUAUAAACAAAAGUUGGGGUUCGAAUGAAAAUGUUUGGAGGGCUGUUGUUUGGUGACCGCUGUUUUAAGCGAUGAUUUUUUAUGCCACUUGAAAAUUUACUUUUAAUCAGAAUCGGACGUGUACAGGCUUCCCUGCACGUGCUGUUCUCGCAGGCAAGAAGCUAACCAACGAACGAGCUUAGCUCGUAAAUAACGUACCGGCUGGCAAGGCCGCGUUUUCGCUUCGGCUAAGCACGGCGUUGCUUCUUGCGGAACGUUUCGUCGGAAAGAUCGACGUCGUCGCGAGGUCACGAGGAGUAACCGGCAAGAAGAGCGUCCGCGUUUUGCCUGUAAGUUUCUUCGAAACCGAACGAGACGGAAGUAGCCGGUUGUCCUCGUUUCUAGCUGUGCCGGCGUCUGCUUCCGGUUUCCCCUCUGACUGGUACAGCCGUUUCGACGAGCCAGAGGGCGGUUUUUCUUCGGUCGGGUAACCGCGUGGCAAGCAGUCGACGACAAGCGGAAGCGUUUAGCGAGCCAUUAAAGUCAGCUGGCCAUUACGAUAAUCGAGCGAAUCGAUUUAUAUACGGCCCGUGACGGGCUCGAGGUCGACCAGCCGAUAAAUCGAUCGACCUAUCCCGCCGGCGGAAGAAAGACGAGAUCUAAGAUCGAGGGGAAAGAACCACCUUCCUUUUUACCCUCUACUGUCGAGCUACCAUACACGGGACGUAAAGUUACAAGUGCAGUCACGAGACUCUUCACCCUCUUUGCUAUUG